rnacentral:rRNA from 1 species
AGCGAACGCUGGCGGCAGGCCUAACACAUGCAAGUCGAACGGGCUCCCUCGGAAGUCAGUGGCAGACGGGUGAGUAAUACGUGGGAACGUGCCCUUCGGUUCGGAAUUACUCAGGGAAACUUGAGCUCAUACCGGAUAUGCCCUUUUGGGGACAGGUUUACUGCCGAAGGAAGCGCCCGCUCCUGCUUAGCUUGUUGGUGGGGUAACGGCCUACCAAGGUGACGAUCUGUAGCUGGUCUGAGAGGCUGAUCAGCCACACUGGGACUGGGACGCGGCCCAGACUCCUACGGGAGGCAGCAAUGGGGAAUAUUGGACAAUGGGCGCAAGCCUGAUCCAGCCAUGCCGCGUGAGUGAUGAAGGCCUUAGGGUUGUAAAGCUCUUUUGUCCGGGACGAUAAUGACGGUACCGAAAGAAUAAGCCCCGGCUAACUUCGUG